rnacentral:rRNA from 1 species
CGAGUUUGAUCCUGGCUCAGGAUGAACGCUAGCGGCAGGCUUAAUACAUGCAAGUCAAGGGGGUAGCAAUACAACCGGCGCACGGGUGAGUAACGCGUACACAACAUACCAUAUACUGGAGUAUAGCUUUGGGAAACUGAAGGUAAUCCUCCAUAACAUUGCGAGAGGGCAUCUGAUUGCAAUUAAAGUUUCGGCGGUAUAUGAUUGGUGUGCGUUUGAUUAGCUAGUUGGUAGGGUAACGGCCUACCAAGGCGACGAUCAAUAGCUGGCGUGAGAGCGCGACCAGCCACACUGGAACUGAGACACGGUCCAGACUCCUACGGGAGGCAGCAGUAGGGAAUAUUGGACAAUGGAGGAAACUCUGAUCCAGCCAUGCCGCGUGAUAGAUGAAGGCCCUCUGGGUUGUAAAUNUCUUUUAUCUGGGAAGAAACACUCCUAUUCUUAGGAACUUGACGGUACCAGAGGAAUAAGCACCGGCUAACUCCGUG